UCCCUGGUGGCUCGGUGGUAAAGAAUCUGCCUGCAAUACAGGAGACCCAGGUUCAAUCCCUGGGUUGGGAA
rnacentral:tRNA from 1 species